rnacentral:rRNA from 1 species
GACGAACGCUGGUGGCGUGCCUAAUACAUGCAAGUAGAACGCAGUUGCGAACGGGUGAGUAACGCGUAGGUAACUGCCUCAUAGCGGGGGAUAAAUAUUGGAAACGCUAGCUAAUACCGCAUACUGUGAGAUGGCCCUGCGUUGUAUUAGCUAGUUGGUGGGGUAAAGGCUCACCAAGGCGACGAUACGUAGCCGACCUGAGAGGGUGAUCGGCCACAGUGGGACGGAGACACGGCCCAGACUCCUACGGGAGGCAGCAGUAGGGAAUCUUCGGCAAUGGACGAAAGUCUGACGGAGCAACGCGGCGUGAGUGAUGAGGGUUUUCGGUUCGUAAAGCUCUGUUGUUAGAGAAGCGGUACCUAACCAGAAAGGUACGGCUAACUCCGUGCCAGCCGCCGCGGUAAUAC